rnacentral:rRNA from 1 species
CGUAGGGUGCGAGCGUUAAUCGGAAUUACUGGGCGUAAAGCGUGCGCAGGCGGUUUUGUAAGACAGAUGUGAAAUCCCCGGGCUCAACCUGGGACCUGCAUUUGUGACUGCAAGGCUAGAGUACGGUAGAGGGGGAUGGAAUUCCGCGUGUAGCAGUGAAAUGCGUAAAUAUGCGGAGGAACACCGAUGGCGAAGGCAAUCCCCUGGACCUGUACUGACGCUCAUGCACGAAAGCGUGGGGAGCAAACAGGAUUAGAUACCCUGGUAGUCCACGCUCUAAACGAUGUCAACUGGUUGUUGGGUCUUUACUGACUCAGUAACGAAGCUAACGCGUGAAGUUGACCGCCUGGGGAGUACGGCCGCAAGGUUG